GCCCAAACAGAAACGAGAACCAGAAGUUUGAGUGUGACCUUAUGGAGGGGAAAACUAUUCUUCUUUGCCUUAUGGUGCUUGUGCUGCUAGGACAUUCAACUCAUGCUCGGAAUUGCCAUACCGAGCGUGCUUACUCAAGUCCAUUCGUUUGUCUAGGUAAACCUUGCCAUACAAAAUGCGUGAAGAAGUGGGGAAAGCUCUUCAAUCAUUCUUCCUGUAAAGUUCGAGGAUUCUUCAAAGUGUCCUGUGAAUGUGUUGUCUGUGAUCUGUGACUAUAUCUAGUUGGACUUUGCCAUCAUCUAAAACAAUGAAAAAUGAUGCCCAGUAAUAAAACAUUAUGGUGA